rnacentral:rRNA from 1 species
GAUGAACGCUGGCGGCGUGCCAAAUACAUGCAAGUCGAGCGAAUGGAUUGAGAGCUUGCUCUUAUGAAGUUAGCGGCGGACGGGUGAGUAACACGUGGGUAACCUGCCCAUAAGACUGGGAUAACUCCGGGAAACCGGGGCUAAUACCGGAUAACAUUUUGAACCGCAUGGUUCGAAAUUGAAAGGCUGCUUCGGCUGUCACUUAUGGAUGGACCCGCGUCGCAUUAGCUAGUUGGUGAGGUAACGGCUCACCAAGGCAACGAUGCGUAGCCGACCUGAGAGGGUGAUCGGCCACACUGGGACUGAGACACGGCCCAGACUCCUACGGGAGGCAGCAGUAGGGAAUCUUCCGCAAUGGACGAAAGUCUGACGGAGCAACGCCGCGUGAGUGAUGAAGGCUUUCGGGUCGUAAAACUCUGUUGUUAGGGAAGAACAAGUGCUAGUUGAAUAAGCUGGCACCUUGACGGUACCUAACCAGAGAGCCACGGCUAACUACGUGCCAGCAGCCGCGGUAA